rfam:Clostridiales bacterium 41_21_two_genomes Ley3_66761_scaffold_62, whole genome shotgun sequence.
GGAAGAGUUCCCGAGUGGCCAAAGGGAACAGACUGUAAAUCUGUCGUCAAUGACUUCGGUGGUUCGAAUCCACCCUCUUCCA